rnacentral:misc_RNA from 1 species
CUUGGUCCGGAUGUUAUUACGCGAAAGCUUCGCACCGAGCGCGAAGGAGUGAACGUUCACGUUGCUCGCGCGCCCGAACUCGCCGUGAAACGACGCCAUGUGGAACGCAUCCGCCGCUUCGUCCUGAAACUUCACGAACUCCAGCCGGGCGUUGUCGCCGACAAAAAGCUCCGUGACCGCGUUCGUGAAAUAACCCGCGCCACCCAGCGACACGUAGCUUUCGAGAAUCGUGACCGCGCUGUUCGCCUCGGCGAUGACGAGAUUGCGCGGAUGAAACGUCGUGCCGUUCUGUUUCGCCGUCGAGACAUAGACAAGUUGAAUGGGUUCUUCGACAACUUUGCCAGCGGGCACGUGAACGAAUCC